rnacentral:rRNA from 1 species
GACAGAGGAUGCAAGCGUUAUCCGGAAUGAUUGGGCGUAAAGCGUCUGUAGGUGGCUUUUUAAGUCCGCCGUCAAAUCCCAGGGCUCAACCCUGGACAGGCGGUGGAAACUACCAAGCUGGAGUACGGUAGGGGCAGAGGGAAUUUCCGGUGGAGCGGUGAAAUGCGUAGAUAUUGGAAAGACCACCAAUGGCGAAGGCACUCUACUGGGCCAUUACCGACACUGAGAGACGAAAGCUAGGGGAGCAAAUGGG